AAAACUUUCAAUAAUGAUGAUCUGAAAUCACACUUGCUUCAGUUUUUGGCUGAUAAGGACCUGAAGUUCUAUGAGUGCAGAAUCAUGAAGUUGCCAGAAAGAUGGCAAACGGUCAUUGAACAAAAUGGAAAAUAUAUCAUUGAUUAAAAAGUGUAAAAUGUGU